UACGGAGGGUGCAAGCGUUAUCCGGAUUCACUGGGUUUAAAGGGUGCGUAGGUGGAAUGGUAAGUCAGUGGUGAAAUCUCCAAGCUUAACUUGGAAACUGCCGUUGAUACUAUCAUUCUUGAAUAUCGUGGAGGUGAGCGGAAUAUGUCAUGUAGCGGUGAAAUGCUUAGAUAUGACAUAGAACACCGAUUGCGAAGGCAGCUCACUACGCGAUUAUUGACACUGAGGCACGGAAAGCGUGGGGAUCAAACAGG
rnacentral:rRNA from 1 species